rnacentral:rRNA from 1 species
UACGAAGGGUGCAAGCGUUAAUCGGAAUUACUGGGCGUAAAGCGCGCGUAGGCGGCUUUGUAAGUUAGAGGUGAAAGCCCGGAGCUCAACUCCGGAACUGCCUUUAAAACUGCAUCGCUUGAAUCCAGGAGAGGUGAGUGGAAUUCCGAGUGUAGAGGUGAAAUUCGUAGAUAUUCGGAAGAACACCAGUGGCGAAGGCGGCUCACUGGACUGGUAUUGACGCUGAGGUGCGAAAGCGUGGGGAGCAAACAGG